rnacentral:pre_miRNA from 1 species
AACCCGUAGAUCCGAACUUGUGCUUCUAUUCUUCACAAGCUUGUAUCUAUAGGUAUG